CCUACGGGAGGCAGCAGUGAGGAAUAUUGGUCAAUGGGCGGGAGCCUGAACCAGCCAAGUCGCGUGAGGGAAGACGGUCCUAUGGAUUGUAAACCUCUUUAGGCGGGGAGCAAGGCCGGGCACGCGUGCCCGGAGGGAGAGGACCCGCAGAAGAAGCAGCGGCUCACUCCGUGCCAGCAGCCGCGGUAAUACGGAGGAUGCGAGCGUUAUCCGGAUUGAUGGGGUUUAAAGGGUGCGUAGGCGGAUUUUUAAGUCAGCGGUAAACUGUCCGGGCUCAACCCGGGCCGGCCGUUGAAACUGGGGAUCUUGAGUGGGCGAGACGUAUGCGGAAUGCGUGGUGUAGCGGUGAAAUGCAUCGCUCUCACGCAGAACUCCGAUUGCGAAGGCAGCAUACCGGCGCCCGACUGACGCUGAGGCACGAAAGCGUGGGGAUCGAACAGGAUUAGAUACCCCAGUAGUC
rnacentral:rRNA from 1 species